CAAUAGCAUAUAUUAAUGUUGUUGCAGUUAAAAAGCUCGUAGUUGGAUCUCUGUAGGAGUGCCAAUGUCCACCCACGUGUGAGUUGCAGCGGCGCUCCUGCAUCCUUCGGUUACCUCCGCUCGGCAUUCACUUGCCGGCGGUUGGCUCCGAAUAUUUACCUUGAGAAAAUUAGAGUGUUUCAGGCAGGCUAAGCCGGAAUACAUUAGCAUGGAAUAAUAGAAUAGGACUACGGUCUCGUUGUUGGUUUGAGGGACUGGAGUAAUGAUUAAUAGGGAUAGUUGGGGGCAUUAGUAUUUAAUUGUCAGAGGUGAAAUUCUCAGAUUAACUAAAGACUAACUUAUGCGAAAGCAUUUGCCAAGGAUGUUUNCAUUAA
rnacentral:rRNA from 1 species